rnacentral:lncRNA from 1 species
GUGCUGCUCGCAGCACUUCAGAUUGAAGUGCCGGGUGCACUGUCUCUGCACAAGGCACACCCCACCAUCUUGCACUGAGGUGUGGUGCACACUUGCCUGCUGAGAGCGGACCUGCCGAUGCAGCAGUUCUGUGCUGGAAACGCUAAUCUGACACGUUAGGCACCCAGCCUCUGGACACAGCACCCUCUAGGCAAGUGAAAAUGGAUUAAGUGAAGAAGAAGAGUUCACAGAAAUAGCUCAAUCUUAUCUCAAAUGAAGUACCUGAAGCUUAAGAUCCUAAGAAAGCAUUUCACACAAUGGAAGCCAGAUGGAGCUAUGCCAGGAAGACAUAUGACCUAAUUCUGGGAGGAUGGAGGAAGCUCCCUGGAGGAGAAGACAUUUGGGAGUCUUGAGCUAAAUCUGCAGAAAUCACUCGGGCAAAAGACCAUCUUGCAGAUAGAUCAGAAAGUGAGCAUGACUUAUUAGAUGACCCAUAUUACCUUUUGCUUAUGUGGAGUGACCAGGAAAACAGUGAAUAAUGAGACUGGAAGACUCUUCAAGGCUGAUUGGGCAAAGUUCUCAAAACACAUGUUAAAGGGUUUGAAAUUUGUCCCAAGAAAAAUGAGAGCCAUUGCAUGGCUUUAUUGGGAAAGUAACAUAAACAAUUUUAUACUUUUAGAAAGGUCACUGUCUGGUGUGAAUAAUGGAAGAAGGAGGCAAGACUGGAGGGAAGGAGACCAGUUUGGAGGAUAUUGAAAUAAUCCAGGCAGGAAAUGAUGACCACUAGAGUAAAAUUAUGGAUUUUCAGAAUUUGCUUGAAUUAUUUUGGUGCAUCUCCAGAUUCCUGUCUGUACCUUUCUUGCUGCUGCACUGGGCCUUGGAAAGCUGCCACAUAGUGGCUUCAUCAACUUUGCCCUCCAGUUUCCAGAUAGAUGUAGCCAGUGGGAGACACCAGUAGGUGAUCAGAGGGAAGGAGAGGAGUGAGUGUGAGAAACCGGUUCCCCAAGAGUCCUCCCAGUUUGGCCACUGCUGGUUGGUGGCAUCCCUCUAGCAAAGCCUAUAGCUAGUGUCUGGCAGUCCUAUCUAUACAGAUUUCCUCUCACCAUUCACUACUCUCGCCCAUUCUGGCUCGGGUGUGGUGGCUUCCAAGGUACUGCAUUAUUACCCUUAUGUUUCCUUCAGGUCCAAUCAUAGCUUUGUAAAUAUUCCCAUUAUUAAACUCCUCUCAAAUUAUGUAGCUUUAUGUACCAUCUGUGUUCUGCUGGAGCCAUGAUUGAUGUACAAGAGGACAGUGAGAGUAGGUAGAUGUGGGGCAUCGUAAAAUUGUAUGGUUGAAAGGAUCCUUUGUGAGAAAGUGUACAGGAGAGGGAGCAGUUGAUAAUAAAUCCUACAGACAGUACAUUUGAGAGGGGUUUACUUCAGUUUGUUAAUUAAAAGAAAUAACUAUAAUAAUAGCUAGUGUCUUACUAAACAUUGGGUACAAUGCUAGAUAUUUAAAUACAUUGUCUUGUUUAAUUCUUAUAAAGUUCACAAAGUAGGUAUUAUUCAAUUUUAUGGAUAUAAAAAUCAUGUCUCACAGUGGCUACAUAACCUGGCUUUAGUUACUCAUCCAUCAGGUGGCAGAGAUAGAAUUCAAAUUCAUCUCACAUGACUCUAUAUUAUAUUUGUAUGGAGCUCUAGGGGUAUUUUCUGCAUGCAGAUACUCAGUUUCUUGCACUAAGUUUAUACAUGACUAUGAAUGGACUAUGUUUAGAGGAAUUGAGAUUAAGUUUUGGGCAACCAUUUUAAAAAAUUAAUUGUUUUAGUAUUUUAAUAUUCUGGUGUGAUUAGUGAAAGGCUACAAAAAUUAUUUGACACCAUUUUCCAGGCUGAUUUUUAACAAAGGGCUUCAGUCUUUCUUUGCAUUGAUUGAUCUAACCACUUUUGACAACUUCCAAUGGUCACAUUAGAUAGAGGAUAGCAUUAAGUUAGAGAAAAUACUUUAGGCAGGAAGGGGAAAAAUCAUUGACUUUAUAUGAAGAGAAAAGUAUACAUGCACAUUUCUUGGAAAAGAUUAACAUUCCAUGCUGCAUUUGCCACCAGAGGGAGUCAUGUGAAUACCAUAACAUAUUGACAAAGGAAAAGGAAAAAUCAUUAAAUAUUUUCUCCCAGUUCCAUUGAUAUUUGAACAAGCAUUCAGAAUUUGUUAGAACUGGUGUAUCUAUGGGAGAUGAUUGAAACAUUUCACUGUAGGCUUGGAAACAGAAGAAAUGUCUUGUUUAAUCACACAGGAUGAAAGAUAGACAUCAAAACAAACUAAUAGACACAUUCCAGAUUUUCUCAACAUGAGCUUAAUGUUAUACUAAAACAAAAAAAAUCAAGCUGUGAUCUCAUUUGUUCAAUAAAUCAUUAUCCACUAUUACCAAAACAUUGUUCUAAAAAUAAUUCCUGGAAUCAACAAUCUAAUCAAUAAUUUUCCUGUGGUUUCAUUAAGUACAUUAUAUUUUAUCAUUAUAUUGCCUGUACCAGGAUGAUGGUGAUUGUUACUGUUCAUAAAUAAAAUAAAAACUCAUUGAAAAAAACUUAAUAGGGAGAAAGAUUUGGUAUCCAAAACCAUUUUAUGUAUCUGUGCUCUCUGAAAACUAGGCCAAGAUUUUCUCAGCUGGUUAACUGGGGAGGGAAAUGGGUUGUUUAAUAACUGGUAGAUUUGUAAUUUUAGAAUUGAUCAGUCAACAGCAUUUACUGAAACCUAAUAUAUACACAAAACUCAACUUUGUCCAUGAAAAUCAAGAUCCACUGACAAUAAAAUUUGGAAAGAUGAGUUCUGAAGUGAUAUUUAAUGCUUUUAUAUAGAUUAGUAGUUCUCAAAGUAUGGUCUCUGCUAGC